UACGGGGGGGGCAAGCGUUGUUCGGAUUUACUGGGCGUAAAGGGCGCGUAGGCGGUCGUGACAAGUCACUUGUGAAAUCUCCGGGCUUAACUCGGAACGGUCAAGUGAUACUGUCGGACUAGAGUACAGAAGGGGCAACUGGAAUUCUCGGUGUAGCGGUGAAAUGCGUAGAUAUCGAGAGGAACACCUGCGGCGAAGGCGGGUUGCUGGGCUGAUACUGACGCUGAGGCGCGAAAGCCAGGGGAGCAAACGGG
rnacentral:rRNA from 1 species